rnacentral:lncRNA from 1 species
UCAUAUAUCUGGCAGGAAUGUAACCACAUGAAACAGUGGUUGCCAUCCAACAUAUGUGACCUCCAUUUUAUUGCAUCUUUAGUCUCAUAUAUGACUUGUUCACAAAUGUGACCUCCAUGUCAUUACAGUCAUUCAUGUUUGAACUAUAUGCAUUGUAUUACAAUAAAUCAGCUACAUGAAAUUCAAUUUUUGUAGGAAUGGUGUUCGUGCACGUAUGUUUGCUAUAUGGAUCUCAGUCAGCGUUGGCAUUGGUAGACUGUGGUUGUGGAUACGUAAACCUUGUUGACACAAUCAUGUCAGAGUUCAGCUUGGAUCCUACGAAGGUGGCAGUGUCACUGAAGUAUGUCCUGAAUGACAAUUUGCCUCCAGUCAGGAUAAAAAAUGA